CUUCAGUGUUGGUGGGACUAAGGAAUUCACCGAUCCUCACGUUUUAAUUGUACCUGUGUGCUUUAGCAGUGAGCGUAAUUAAUGCAUAACAAUAGAGCAGAGCCCUUCCACUGACCUGGCAGUUUCAUCAAUGCUCCUUCCUCUCUCUUCGCGAGGUGCUUAAGUGGUGAUAAGCAAGAAAGUGGCUGCCGCUGAGUAACGCCUGGCCGCGGGUUUCAGUGAAUCAUAGGAGAACUGACGAAAAGUAUGCACCAAUUUUCCACAGACCUGCCAUCGUAAUACAUAACCUGAGGUUCCUGCAGGUCCACAGCACUGCAGAGAAGCCCCCGCCUGCUGCUCCCACUGGACGAUGAAGUCUCUCUAGGC
rnacentral:lncRNA from 1 species